rnacentral:rRNA from 1 species
UACGUAGGGUGCAAGCGUUAAUCGGAAUACUGGGCGUAAAGCGUGCGCAGGCGGUUAUGCAAGACAGAGGUGAAAUCCCCGGGCUACAACCCUGGGAACUGCCUUUGUGACUGCAUAGCUAGAGUACGGUAGAGGGGGGAUGGAAUUCCGCGUGUAGCAGUGAAAUGCGUAGAUAUGCGGAGGAACACCGAUGGCGAAGGCAAUCCCCUGGACCUGUACUGACGCCCAUGCACGAAAGCGUGGGGAGCAACAGG